rnacentral:lncRNA from 1 species
AUUGCCUUAUUAUACCCUGCAGGCAGUAUACCAUUGGGAAUCAAAGAGUCUGUGGCUGGGUUGGUGUCACGUUUCUCUUUGGAUAGCAUGCAGUGUACCUUCCUGUUCCAAAGACACUGAAAAGAGAGUUCGAAGGCUCUUCAUAGGCACCAGCCCCACCUCCCCACGUCCAGUGAGUUUGAGGGUGUUGUUUUCAGUUGCAGCACCUUUCCCUCUCUUGGCAUCAGGUAGAGAGAAAACUAUAGUUUUCUUGGCAACAACCUGGAUGGUUUGGAAUUCCCUUUUGGAGAGAGGUCUUGCAUAAGCUAUAUCUUAUUAUCUAAUACCAAACAAGUUUAUAAAGAAUCACAGCAUCAACUGGGCAGUGGUGGCUCACGCCUUUAAUCCCAGCACUUGGGAAGUAGAGACAGGCAGAUUUCUGAGUUUGAGGCCAGGCUGGUCUACAGAGUGAGUUCCAGGACAGCCAGGGCUACACAGAGAAACCCUGUCUUGAAAAAACAAAAACAAAACCAAAACAACAACAACAAAAAAAGAAUCAUAACAUCUUACUAUACAGUUUUAAAGGGGAAAAUAUGGGACAGAGUGAACAGAAAUCCAUCAUACAAUUGAAUCUAAUCAAGCCAUGUUGCACAAAAGAAGCACAGGAUAUCCCAAAUGUGCCGCAGAUAGCACAGAGAACUUCAAAACUGACCACUAUGGUUUCUUCAGGUGGAAAAGCCAAGUUCCCAGAAACCAUAUUCCUUCAGGGCCCUGACCCUAGCCCCACACCAGACCUUCCCAGAUCUGCUUCUGGUCAGAGUACAGAACUAGGUUCCCUUUGGCUUUGGAGAUAAAGAAAUGGGCUUAAAAUACAAAGGCGCCCACCAGCACUGAGAAGACAGUCUGAGACGCCAUAUUUAGUGGUACCUUCUGGAACUCCAGAGGGAUCCUGAGAUGGUCUGUGCUCCCUUCCUCCUACUAAAGAUGGACAAAAAGACACCAAAGGUGAACACAGCUUCCACGCCAGGCUCAGUAGCACAAGGCCUGGGAUUGUUCCCAGAAGAGCUCCUCCCCUCACAUCAUGAUCCAUGAUGGCUCACGGGAAGAUGACUGCUCACCUCAGCAUGAGUGAGCCCAGGCUGUGAAGUAAGAAGAUAGGCAUGGGUGGAGUCUGCUAGGUGGGAGGAGAUGAGGCUUGGAGGGGGUAGCCUGAAGGAGAGUAACUCAUUUCUUCUACUCCCCUUAAUAGUGAACAAAAAUUGGCCUGUCUCUGUGAAAUACUGUACUUGCUGAUAAUAUUGGGUACUGUGGUGGUUUAAAUGUGUUUGGCCCAUGGGAAGUAGCACUAUCAGGACGUGUGGCCUUAUUUGAGGAGGUGUGGCCUUGAUAGAGGAAGCGCAUCACUGUGGAGGCGGGGCUUUGAGGUCUCCUGUAUGCUCAAAUCUGGCCAGUGUGAAAAAGUCUGUCCUGUCAACCUUUGGAUCAAGAGGUAGAACUCUCAGCUCCUUCUCCAGCACCAUGUCUGCCUGAGUGCUGCCAUGUUCCCAACUGGAUACCGCCAUGCCUUCCACCAUGAUGAUAAUGGACUGAACCUCUGAACCUGUAAACCAGUCCCAAUUAAACGUUUUCCUUGUAAGAGUUGCCUUGGUCAUGGUGUCUCUUCACAACAAUAAAACUCCAACUAAGACAGCUACAAACAAAUAGCAUGUGUUCAUGGGGAAAUAUAUUCAUAUGUACAUGUCUGGAGACAACUGUGAAGGGUGAUACCGCAUUUAUGGUCAAGAUUGUUUCCACUGUAAAAACUGUUUCAAAGCAUGCAUGUUGAGGCAGGCUGGCAGUUGAGGGGAGCUCUUUCUGGCAGGCCUGGCUGCAGUAAGUGCUGGAACCUCUCACAUCCAGAGCCCCUCUGCCUCCUUGAACUUAUAGCUCACUUCAGACACUGCAGCCUCUCCUCAGCUUGGACUCUGCUCUGCCUGUGUUUGAGUCUGCAUGUAGAUGCUCUUUCAAAAUGCUAUUUUCUUUCAAUCUUGCUCAUCAGAACCCGUUAAUCCCAAGCAAUUUAAUUCACUGCUGGAGAUGUGCUAACUAGCAUGAUUAAUAAUUACCCUGCUUAGGAAUUUAGAUGAGGGUUUUCCAGUCACUCGUGACUUGGCGUAUGAUCAGUGCUUCAAUUGAAGCUGGAGUCUCUGCUGGGAGAAGAGUGUGGGCAUCAGCCUGGGCCAAGGCCAGAACCAGCAGGAUCUCAGCCUCUACCCCUUACCUGCUGCUUCUUACCUGACACAGAAAACCACGGGCAGGGCUAGGGUGGUGACCUGUGGCACACCUGCACAGAGCCAAGUGCACAUUCUCCUGGCUGGUAACUUAUUUCACACUUAAGAUCUAGCAGGGAAAAAAAAAACACCAAACAUUUUUGUUU